AAUAAUCUUCGUUUUUGGGUACUUCUCUCUAGUAAAUAGACAUUUUCACCCUUCUGUUGAUGACGUCAUCGAGAUGAGAAACAAAAGAGGAGAACACAAUUCUCUUUCACCCUUCUUUCAUCCGAGCGAUCCUCUGCAAACCUUGGUUUGAUUUCUCUAUCGUCUGACUAAAAGUUACAAUAGCUUUCCAUUGGUGAAGACGUGGUAUGUCAAAGCAUCGAGAUUUCCGGUGAUGUCGCAGAGAGGUUUGUCAGAGAUCUCGAAGAGACUGUUCGUAAUUAGGGUUCUGUCACGCCGUUAGAGACUUCCAUGUCUUUUAAUGGGACUGAUAAGAACCAGAGUGAGACUCACUGUGAAAGUUUCAUAUAGCUUUUGAUGGAUAAUGGAUUGAUGACCCUUCCCGUAAGGGUAAUUUCCAGGUUUGCGAAAGUGAAGAUGAGUAGUGGAAGGAGCCUUUUUGGGGUCGAUGGCUCUGUCACUCUGUCUUAACCCACUUCUAGUUUUCAAAAUCCAAUUUCGGCGAUUGAAGAAGAAUCGUUUAUGGCUUCACAUAUGUUUUGUGAAGUCAUCAACGAUUAGAAAUUCCAGUUGAAGUUUCAACAAUCGCCGAGAAACUCUUUUUCUCUGAAGGUAAGGGCAUAAUAUUUGGUAAUGUGCAUUUUCUCACUGUGAAUUAAACUGGUUUUCCUUUGGGUUCAUUCAUCUGUCUUGGAUUUAGGGGAUAGUUUAAAUACCAUAACAAAGUUAUAUUGGUUUCCUUUGGGUUUAGUCAUCUGUCUUGGCUUUAGGGUUUAGAUUUAAACACAAACACGUCGUUAAAUUUGUUUCCCUUGGGUUCUCGUUCAUACAUCUUGGCUUUAGGGUAUAUAGUUUUGAACACCACCACAUUGAAUUCAUGUGCAUUCAUUCAACCGUCUCUGCUUUACGGUUCAUAGUUUGAAAGAACAACCUCCAAAAAAGUGAACACGCAUCAUGUCGCCUAGAUGGACAAAAUUUGAGAUAUCUCUAACAUGUUCUGGUUUUCAAAGUUCUAUACUCAUAGUUAAUUAGGUAAACUAUGCUGAUAUGAAUUUGUGUGCAUUGCUCCCCAACACGGUCUCUUGAGUAAAUGCUUGUUAACUUUCCUUCGCCUGUGUACUACUAGUAGAAUUGGUUCACACAACAGGAAUCGGAAAAUUGUCCAUGUUUUUAGAUUGUUUUUGGGCAGCUUUGAAGGCCGCCACUCUUGCAGCAUUGGCAGCUGCAACCGCUCUGUUAACUCUCUCAUCAACCUUGUCUACAUCAUAAGUUAAACGUAACUAGUAAAUCAGAAUGAAGACAGAGUCGAACAUCCAUCAAGCUCGCUGUAUUUUUUUUUUGUGAAGCUUCUUUAGAAGAGACUCCCUCUCUUCUUUUACGUCAUAUCCAAAAAAUUCACUAAUAGGCAAAGGACAAAAGAGUCAUCAAUAGUGAUCUUUGUGUUUAAUGUUAUACCUAUUACUAUUGUAAUGCCUAAAUCUGAAUCUCUCUCCUAAAAAGUACCUAUUUUUAUAAAUUUCCCAUUUUUUAA